rnacentral:lncRNA from 1 species
ACUCCCAACAAUGGUCAGCAGCAGCUGUGAUUGGAAGUCCAAGGAUCUAGCAGUUGCUCAGUCCCACACGGCAAGCAGGAGAAGAAAAGACAGUGAGAGUGAAUCUUCCUUCUUCCAACAUCCUUACGUAGGUCUCCAGCAGAAGGUGUGGCCCAGACUAAAGGUGUGUGCCACCAUGCCUGGAUCUGGGACUUGCUUUGUCCCAGAUGACCUUGAACUCAGAGAUCUCCCUGUCUUAAUCUUCUGAAAUUCAUAGCCACUAUGCCUCAAGAUCUCCAUGCCAAAAUCCAGGUCAGAAGCUUGUAUCACCCAGCCUCCAGAUUAGGAUCACAGGUUAGCCUUCCAAUUCUGGAUUGUAGUUCAUUCCAAAUAUAGUCAAGUUGACAACCAGGAGUAGCCACUACAUAUGGUAUAGGUGAUAGGUUUAUUGCUUGACUUCUUGCCUUUUGGUUUUAAAGUUAUUGAAUACAAAAUUGGGAGCAGUGAAAAGGCACACAGUUCUCUCAUUAGCCUUGAGCUAAAACCUCCUGCCGAUCACCUCCUGGUGGGCUUCCCAGAAGACACUGCUGGGCUGGCUUGCCAGUCUGUGUAAGAGUCAUGGGAAGGCUUGCUUCUCCAUUAUCACUGCUGAUCACUGUUGAUAACAGGGGAUGUAGUAUCCAAGGCAUCCAGAGCUUCAGGCAGGAGGGCAAUUAGGGGAACCAGUUGAGGGCAGGAGAUGACCAGAUGAGAUCCACUCCUUUCUCAAUACUCAAUAGCUUAAAACACUUGGGGCCCCUCCAUAUGAGUGAGUACUGCAGGUAUCCAUGGGGGUUGGGGUGCAAGCAGCUAUGGGGAUUGAGACACAGGUAGCCAUGAGGGUUGGGGUACAGGAACCACAGUUCUGGUUCCUUCCAUAUUUCUAGCCACAGUAAGCUGCACAGUGUGGAGUUACAUUUAUGAAUUUGCAUUUGAGCAAUAUGGCCACUCCAUAUGUGUAUGUGUGUGUGUGUGUGUGUGUGUACUACCUCAUGUCAUACGAUAUUCAAUAAUUUGUUACAGAAUUUAUAUAAUCCCAUAAAUUAUCAAAAUAUUUUUCUGAUUCCAGGCAAUUAAUGUAUACCACGUGAAGGCUGUCUGUAAAACUUACCCUUCAUGAAAAUGUGUGUGCCAAACACUCUGACCUUUGUUAGAUAAUUUGAGAAGCCCAUCUUGUAAUGUUUCUUAAAAUUUUCCACUUGGUAGAUUUAUUUAGGGAUUCCCAAGGAAAAAAAAUAAAGUUGAACCAGUGUUCAGUUCCCUAGACACAAAAAUUGGCUUUAUUAAUUGGGAGGGAGGCCAAACCCAGUUUUGGGUAAGAGCCUGAAGAAGUUGUAGAACAGUCCUGGGGAUACAGGCUGUGAGACAGUUAGGGUUGUGCCUGAAGCCCAGGGUCUCACCAAAGGACUAGGUUUUUGUUUUGUCUUUUUAUUCACUUUCUUUCCUUUCUGACCCCUGGAACACAUUGUCUCAUUUGUUCCUCAUAGACCCCUGCCAAGUAGGUAUUGUGUUACACAUGGGGAAUUGAGGUUGUGGUAAGUUCCCCAGACCUUGUGCUAAGCUGUUUGCUCCAGGACACCCCCUACACACACACACACACACACACACACACACACACACACACACACACACACACACACUGAUCCAUAUGGGAGAGGCAAUGGUAGACAAGUCCAGAAUGUGUGAACAUGGAUUAUUAGGAUAGGCACAGGUUAACCUUUGCCCUUUUGGGCUGUUUAUCCUUGAAAGUAAGGCAGACACUUGGAAACAAAGCUCUGCUCGCUCCCUUUUCGUGGUUAAAGUCUGGCCCAUGGUUGAUGACAGUGAAUGCACUUCCUUCAGCAGGAAUUGCAGCUUUAGCUUGUCUUAAACAAGUCUCGGGGCCUGUUAGUGCCAUGAUAUGCUAGCUAGCCCUCUUCAUAGCCCAAGCCAAAAAAGAGGUUUAGAUGUCAGGUGAGUGGGCUCAUCUUGCAUGUUUGACUCUGUAGCAAAUGUUUCUUAGAGAGUGCCUAGUAGCCAAGAAAUAU